rnacentral:rRNA from 1 species
UACGGAGGGGGCUAGCGUUGUUCGGAAUUACUGGGCGUAAAGCGCGCGUAGGCGGAUCUGCAAGUCGGGGGUGAAAUCCCGAGGCUCAACCUCGGAACUGCCUUCGAUACUGCGGGUCUCGAGUCCGGGAGAGGUGAGUGGAAUUUCCGGUGUAGCGGUGAAAUGCGUAGAUAUCGGAAGGAACACCUGUGGCGAAAGCGGCUCACUGGACCAUAACUGACGCUGAGGCGCGAAAGCUAGGGGAGCAAACAGG